CCCUAUAAAAGGACCCCUGGGAAACAAUUUGCCUUGUCCUUGCACAGAAAGCUUCAAGUAUUGAUCAGCUUCCAGACUGCAUACUAUCCAUCUGUUAUCACAAGAGAGCUCACUGCUGAGCUGCCCUAGAUAAACCGCAGCCAUGUCGUCGGAUGCUGAGAUGGCCGUCUAUGGGGUGGCAGCUCCUUUCCUCCGAAAGUCGGAGAAGGAGAGAAUUGAGGCCCAGAACAAGCCUUUCGAUGCUAAGACAUCGGUCUUUGUGG